rnacentral:rRNA from 1 species
GCGUAAGCGAAGCUCUUGAUCGAAGCCCCAGUAAACGGCGGCCGUAACUAUAACGGUCCUAAGGUAGCGAAAUUCCUUGUCGGGUAAGUUCCGACCUGCACGAAUGGCAUAAUGAUGGCGGCGCUGUCUCCAGCAGAGGCUCAGUGAAAUCGAAAUCGCUGUGAAGAUGCAGUGUACCCGCGGCUAGACGGAAAGACCCCGUGAACCUUUACUGCAGCUUGACACUGAACUUUGACCUUACUUGUGUAGGAUAGGUGGGAGGCUUUGAAGCUGGAACGCUAGUUCCAGUGGAGCCGUCCUUGAAAUACCACCCUGGUAAUGUUGAGGUUCUAACUCUGUCCCGUGAUCCGGGACGAGGACCGUGUCUGGUGGGUAGUUUGACUGGGGCGGUCUCCUCCUAAAGAGUAACGGAGGAGUACGAAGGUGCGCUCAGCGUGGUCGGAAAUCACGCGUAGAGUAUAAAGGCAAAAGCGCGCUUAACUGCGAGACCCACAAGUCGAGCAGGUACGAAAGUAGGUCUUAGUGAUCCGGUGGUUCUGUAUGGAAGGGCCAUCGCUCAACGGAUAAAAGGUACUCUGGGGAUAACAGGCUGAUACCGCCCAAGAGUUCAUAUCGACGGCGGUGUUUGGCACCUCGAUGUCGGCUCAUCUCAUCCUGGGGCUGAAGCAGGUCCCAAGGGUAUGGCUGUUCGCCAUUUAAAGAGGUACGCGAGCUGGGUUUAGAACGUCGUGAGACAGUUCGGUCCCUAUCUACCGUGGGCGCUGGAAAUUUGAGAGGAUCUGCUCCUAGUACGAGAGGACCAGAGUGGACGAACCUCUGGUGUACCGGUUGUGACGCCAGUCGCAUCGCCGGGUAGCUAUGUUCGGAAGGGAUAACCGCUGAAAGCAUCUAAGCGGGAAGCCUACCUCAAGAUAAGAUUUCCCUAGGACUUUAUGUCCUCUAAAGAGCCGUUCGAGACUAGGACGUUGAUAGGUUGGAUGUGGAAGCAUAGUGAUAUGUGAAGCUGACCAAUACUAAUUGCUCGUGAGGCUUGACUAU